UACGUAGGGGGCAAGCGUUGUCCGGAUUUAUUGGGCGUAAAGCGCGUGUAGGCGGCCAGAUAGGUCUGCUGUGAAAACUCGAGGCUCAACCUCGAGCUGUCGGCGGAAACCAUCUGGCUAGAGUCCGGAAGAGGAGAGUGGAAUUCCUGGUGUAGCGGUGAAAUGCGCAGAUAUCAGGAGGAACACCAAAUGGCGAAGGCAGCUCGCUGGAACGGUAAGCUGACGCCGUUGGAAGGG
rnacentral:rRNA from 1 species